rnacentral:lncRNA from 1 species
AAAGUCCAUGAUUUGGUGUCAUACUGACACAAAUCAGAUUCUGGGCUCAGAUUCAUCAGCACCAAGAUGCCCAGAGAUGUAGGAAGCAAAAGAUACAGUCCCUGUGUUUGUGGAAUUUUUCAUCUAUUGAGGGAGACUAUAAAGUGAAUUUACAAACCACCCAAAGGACACAAGGGACAAGAAGCAGCUGAGAAUCGUGAAUGAUCAGAAAUCUGGUGCAGAUCACCUACUUUGAAUCAACUGUGCAGCUGAAUGACAAGGAGACUCUUGCCCUGCCAACCCCUGGGCCCUUUGGACCAGGACACCUUGACACAAAGAUCCAUUCCUGCUCCGGAAGCUACCGCAGAGCAUUUCCAUAGGUCUCCAGUCACACGUCUUUGCUUUUCUUAACAUACCGGGAGAUCUAUGAAAGCGAAACUAAAAGGAAAUGGAAAGGAAAAACUGCUUGUGCAUCUCUCUCCGUCAACUAUUUCAUUUUCAUUUGUUCUAGGAGAAUUUCUUUCAGCCCUCGCCUCCUGGAUUUACGCUUAUUCUGGGGACUAGACGAAAAAUCUCUACCCCUGGCAGGGAUAUUGUGGAAGGCUUGCCUAGAUGAUAUAGGGGCAUUAAAUAUUUGACCUUUGGGGUUUCUUCCAAUCCAGAUAUUCUCGGGUGCAGAAAGGAGUAGUGGUCCCUCAGACCGUCCAAAAUGGGUUUUUUCCACCCUGAUUGGAAAAUAUGCUCAUUUCUAACACAAGAUGGCGCUGGGACACAGGCAAGAACAUUUCUGAUUAAAACAAAACAAAAUGAAACAAAACAAAACACAAAACAAAACAAUCCAGGAGCACAAAAGUUCUAAUAAGCCAGAGAGUUAUUUUGUUUCUGGACAAGACCAGCUUUUGUUAAGCACAUUUUAGAACAGUCUUCUGGAGUAGUAAUAAUCUAAUAGGGCUGCUUUACCCCUAAAUCAACCAAAUGGUUAGGACUGAAUGAAAGUAGCACAAUGUAUCCUUAGGAACAAAGUAUUCAAAAAGAACUCUAAAUCCCUUAACUAUGCAGGGUCAAAACCAGAGAUAAGUGGUCAGGGGACUUAGUUGAGCACUAUCAUCAAAAGUGAUGUCUUAAAUUCUGAUUCUGAUAUGGGAUGGGUCUUUACCAGUUGAAUAAUUCUGAUAUGAAUUCAGGUGCCUUAAUAAAAUUAUCUUUUUUUUUUUUUUUUUCUUAGAGACAGGGUCUCACUAUGUUACCCAGUCUGGUCUCAAACUCCCGGCCUCCCAAAGUGCUGGGAUUACAGGUGUAAGCCACCAUGCCCAGCCUAAUUUAAAAUUAAAUGAGCUCUUUUAUUUCAUAAUAGAGCAGAUUGUUUUAACUUGUUUGCACUUAUUUGAGGAUUAUUUGAUGAAGCAAUUGAGGAAUAAUUCACAAUUUGAACUAUAACCACCAAACAAGUUCUGUUAAGCUAAUACCUAAGUUGAGUCUUAGUGUUGUUUUUUGUUGUUUUGAUUUGUUUUGUUUUGUUUUUGAGACAGAGUUUGGUUGUAUCACCAAGGCUAGAGUGCAGUGGCAUGGCUCACUGCAGCCUCAACAUCUGUGUUCAAGCUAUCCUCCCGCCUUAGCCUCCGGAGCAGGUAGAACUAUAGGUAUGCAUCACCAUGCCCAGCUAAUUUUUUAUUUUUUGUAGAGAGGGGGUUUCAUUGUAUUGCCCAGGCUAGUCUCAAUCUCUUGGGCUCAAGCGAUCCACCUGCCUCAUCCC